rnacentral:rRNA from 1 species
AUACAGAGGGUGCGAGCGUUAAUCGGAAUUACUGGGCGUAAAGCGCGCGUAGGUGGUUUAGUAAGUCGGAUGUGAAAGCCCUGGGCUCAACCUGGGAAUUGCAUUCGAUACUGCUUGACUAGAGUAUGGUAGAGGGAAGUGGAAUUUCCGGUGUAGCGGUGAAAUGCGUAGAUAUCGGAAGGAACACCAGUGGCGAAGGCGACUUCCUGGGCCAAUACUGACGCUGAGGUGCGAAAGCGUGGGGAGCAAACAGGAUUAGAAACCCCAGUAGUCC